rnacentral:rRNA from 1 species
UACCCUGGACGGUGGAUCACUUGGCUCGCGGGUCGAUGAAGACGCAGUUAACUGCGCGUCAU